rnacentral:tRNA from 2 species
GGAUUUGCAAUCCUCUGCCUUACCACUUGGCCAUAUCGCCUUUAAAAAAUAAAAAAA